AGCAUUGAUACACCGGUUCUCGUUUGAUCACCGAAGUUAAGCAACGUCGUGUCUGAUCAGUACCUUGAUGGGUAACUCCUUGGGAACACUAGGUGCUGUAA